rnacentral:rRNA from 1 species
GGCAGCUACCAUGCAGUCGAGCGGAUGAAGAGAGCUUGCUCUCUGAUUCAGCGGCGGACGGGUGAGUAAUGCCUAGGAAUCUGCCUGGUAGUGGGGGACAACGUUUCGAAAGGAACGCUAAUACCGCAUACGUCCUACGGGAGAAAGUGGGGGAUCUUCGGACCUCACGCUAUCAGAUGAGCCUAGGUACGAUUAGCUAGUUGGUGAGGUAAAGGCUCACCAAGGCGACGAUCGUUAACUGGUCUGAGAGGAUGAUCAGUCACACUGGAACUGAGACACGGUCCAGACUCCUACGGGAGGCAGCAGUGGGGAAUAUUGGACAAUGGGCGAAAGCCUGAUCCAGCCAUGCCGCGUGUGUGAAGAAGGUCUUCGGAUUGUAAAGCACUUUAAGUUGGGAGGAAGGGCAGUAAGUUAAUACCUUGCUGUUUUGACGUUACCGACAGAAUAAGCACCGGCUAACUUCGUGCCAGCAGCCGCGGUAAUACGAAGGGUGCAAGCGUUAAUCGGAAUUACUGGGCGUAAAGCGCGCGUAGGUGGUUUUGUAAGUUGGAGGUGAAAUCCCCGGGCUCAACCUGGGAACUGCCUCCAAAACUGCAUGACUAGAGUACGGUAGAGGGUGGUGGAAUUUCCUGUGUAGCGGUGAAAUGCGUAGAUAUAGGAAGGAACACCAGUGGCGAACGCGACCACCUGGACUGAUACUGACACUGAGUGCGAAAGCGUGGGGAGCAAACAGGAUUAGAUA